GAUGAACGCUAGCGGCAGGCCUAACACAUGCAAGUCGAGGGGCAUCGCGGUGCAGCAAUGCACUGGCGGCGACCGGCGUACGGGUGCGUAACGCGUAUGCAACCUGCCCCGCACCGGGGGAUAGCCCGCCGAAAGGCGGAUUAAUACCCCAUGGUCCCGGGGGCCCGCAUGGGCAUCCGGGUAAAGCCUUGGCGGUGCGGGAUGGGCAUGCGUGCCAUUAGCUGGCUGGUGGGGUAACGGCCCACCAGGGCAACGAUGGCUAGGGGGUCUGAGAGGACGAUCCCCCACACUGGUACUGAGACACGGACCAGACUCCUACGGGAGGCAGCAGUGAGGAAUAUUGGUCAAUGGGCGGAAGCCUGAAUCAGCCAUGCCGCGUGCAGGAUGACGGCCCUACGGGUUGUAAACUGCUUUUCCCGGGCGAAUAACCCCUCGCGAGGGGAGUGCCGGUACCGGGGAAUAAGGAUACGGCUAACUCCGUGCCAGCGAGCCGCGGUAAUCCUAGUCUACGC
rnacentral:rRNA from 1 species